rnacentral:rRNA from 1 species
GGGGAAUAUUGCACAAUGGGCGAAAGCCUGAUGCAGCAACGCCGCGUGAGUGAUGAAGGUCUUCGGAUUGUAAAGCUCUGUCUUUUGGGACGAUAAUGACGGUACCAAAGGAGGAAGCCACGGCUAACUACGUGCCAGCAGCCGCGGUAAUACGUAGGUGGCGAGCGUUGUCCGGAUUUACUGGGCGUAAAGGGUGCGUAGGCGGAUGUUUAAGUGAGAUGUGAAAUACCCGGGCUUAACUUGGGUGCUGCAUUUCAAACUGGAUAUCUAGAGUGCAGGAGAGGAGAAUGGAAUUCCUAGUGUAGCGGUGAAAUGCGUAGAGAUUAGGAAGAACACCAGUGGCGAAGGCGAUUCUCUGGACUGUAACUGACGCUGAGGCACGAAAGCGUGGGUAGCAAACAGGAUUAGAUACCCUGGUAGUCCACGCCGUAAACGAUGAGUACUAGGUGUAGGAGGCAUCGACCCCUUCUGUGCCGCAGUAAACACAUUAAGUACUCCGCCUGGGAA